rnacentral:lncRNA from 1 species
UUCAAUCCAUUUAAGGAGUUAAUUAACAUCUUUCAACAACUGAUGAUACUCUUCAUAUAUAUUUAGAUUUUGAAAUGGCACCAUUCAUUGACAACAUACUAAAGGAGUAUGAUUAUUUGCAAACCAUACCAUCACUUUGAUACUAAGUAUACUUAGCAUUGAAGAAUAUUCCUCCAUGGUGGCACCAAGGCACAGCUCAGAUAGUUGAACGGGAUGAAUGAAAAUAGCUACAAAGUAGAGUCAUGCCCUGUGACAAACAAGUGCAGGUGGCAAUGGGGGUGGAGAGUGAGCAUUACAAAUAAGAAUAUGCUAAUUUCUAUUCGCAGAUCUAAGUUGGGCAAAGACAAAAUGCACACAAAAUUCAAAACCAUCCUUAAUUAGCCCGUUUAAUUUGACUCACGAUGUGACAUUGAAGAUACCAUUAACCAAAAUAAAUAUACUUACAUGUCCAAUAUCACGCCACCGCCACUGGACGAGAGUGAAUGUGACUUCAUUUUAUCUAUACCGUGUCUAAGAACAAAGAAUAGUGGGACUCCACAUACAUAGACUAGACAAGAUGAAAGUUUCGCACUUAUAUUCGAUGGAGUUAAAGUAACAAACUCAUUUAUUUUAUAUUUUUGUCUGGUGAUCU